GGGGGUGCCAGUUUCGACAUGAGAAAUGUGUCGUUCGUGGCAGACAGAGUUCCGAUAACUCUCUAAACUGUCGGAAAAUUUAAGUGCAGACGAAUAUGUCGCACGGGCAAAGUCAAUUGUUUCUCCGUAUUUUACGGCGAACGACUUUGUUUUCGCCUACGCUCGAGCGUAAGCUCGCUUAAGCGAACGUUGACUACCUUCGCCGUCCGAGACGGGGUAGUAAAUGCUUUAUCUCUCGGAUUGUAACCUAGUACUUGCUCAAUACUAGGCCAAACUUAGAGCUUAGAACUUAUUGUGUUUUGUCUGAUUUAUAGCAAUAAAUUCGAAAAUCAAAAUCAGUCUAUGUCUGCUAGAUUCGUUCGAUGUAUUCUCAUACACGCGGGCUCAUUCCCGCCACCUCCACUG
rnacentral:tmRNA from 1 species